rnacentral:rRNA from 1 species
GCCUCGGCCACGGGUAUCGUUCACAGACUAGGUGAUUGUGGGAGGGUUACCCUUCUAAGAUAUAGUCGGUUACAGUGGGAAACCUCUGUAUUUAUAGCGUCCGUAGGUGAACCUGCGGAAGGAUCAUUAAAAAUGAAGCCGGGAAACCGGUCCUUCUAACCCUUGAUUAUCUUAAUUUGUUGCUUUGGUGGGCCGCGCAAGCACCGGCUUCGGCUGGAUCGUGCCCGCCAGAGGACCACAACUCUGUAUUAAAUGUCGUCUGAGUACUAUAUAAUAGUUAAAACUUUCAACAACGGAUCUCUUGGUUCUGGGGCAUCGAUGAAGAACGCAGCGAAAUGCGAUAAGUAAUGUGAAUUGCAGAAUUCAGUGAAUCAUCGAAUCUUUGAACGCACAUUGCGCCCUCUGGUAUUCCGGAGGGCAUGCCUGUUCGAGCGUCAUAAUGACCAAAUCACCCUCGUGGUGGACUUGGAGCUGGCCUGUACAGGCCUCUCUUAAAACUAGUGGCGGUGCUCUUAAAGCUCUACGCGUAGUAAUUUUUCUCGCUACAGAGUCUUGAUUGUACUUGCCAACAACCCCGAUUAUUUUAAGGUUGACCUCGGAUCAGGUAGGGAUACCCGCUGAACUUAAGCAUAUCAAUAA